rnacentral:rRNA from 1 species
GCGGAGGAAAAGAAACCACCAGGGAUUGCCCUAGUAACGGCGAGUGAAGCGGCAACAGCUCAAAUUUGAAAUCUGGCGUCUUCGGCGUCCGAGUUGUAAUUUGCAGAGGGCGCUUUGGCAUUGGCAGCGGUCCAAGUUCCUUGGAACAGGACGUCACAGAGGGUGAGAAUCCCGUACGUGGUCGCUAGCCUUUACCGUGUAAAGCCCCUUCGACGAGUCGAGUUGUUUGGGAAUGCAGCUCUAAAUGGGAGGUAAAUUUCUUCUAAAGCUAAAUACUGGCCAGAGACCGAUAGCGCACAAGUAGAGUGAUCGAAAGAUGAAAAGCACUUUGGAAAGAGAGUUAAAAAGCACGUGAAAUUGUUGAAAGGGAAGCGCUUGCAGCCAGACUUGCCUGUAGUUGCUCAUCCGGGUUUCUACCCGGUGCACUCUUCUAUAGGCAGGCCAGCAUCAGUUUGGGCGGUUGGAUAAAGGUCUCUGUCAUGUACCUCCUCUCGGGGAGAACUUAUAGGGGAGACGACAUGCAACCAGCCCGGACUGAGGUCCGCGCAUCUGCUAGGAUGCUGGCGUAAUGGCUGUAAGCGGCCCGUCUUGAAACACGGACCAAGGAGUCUAACAUCUAUGCGAGUGUUUGGGUGUCAAGCCCGAGCGCGUAAUGAAAGUGAACGGAGGUGGGAACCUUUCGGGGUGCACCAUCGACCGAUCCUGAUGUCUUCGGAUGGAUUUGAGUAAGAGCAUAGCUGUUGGGACCCGAAAGAUGGUGAACUAUGCUUGAAUAGGGUGAAGCCAGAGGAAACUCUGGUGGAGGCUCGCAGCGGUUCUGACGUGCAAAUCGAUCGUCAAAUUUGGGCAUAGGGGCGAAAGACUAAUCGAACUAUCUAGUAGCUGUC